AGACCCGAAACCCGGUGAUCUAGCCAUGGGCAGGUUGAAGGUUGGGUAACACUAACUGGAGGACCGAACCGACUAAUGUUGAAAAAUUAGCGGAUGACCUGUGGCUGGGGGUGAAAGGCCAAUCAAACCGGGAGAUAGCUGGUUCUCCCCGAAAGCUAUUUAGGUAGCGCCUCGUGAAUUCAUCUCCGGGGGUAGAGCACUGUUUCGGCUAGGGGGCCAUCCCGGCUUACCAACCCGAUGCAAACUGCGAAUACCGGAGAAUGUUAUCACGGGAGACACACGGCGGGUGCUAACGUCCGUCGUGAAGAGGGAAACAACCCAGACCGCCAGCUAAGGUCCCAAAGUCAUGGUUAAGUGGGAAACGAUGUGGGAAGGCCCAGACAGCCAGGAUGUUGGCUUAGAAGCAGCCAUCAUUUAAAGAAAGCGUAAUAGCUCACUGGUCGAGUCGGCCUGCGCGGAAGAUGUAACGGGGCUAAACCAUGCACCGAAGCUGCGGCAGCGACACUGUGUGUUGUUGGGUAGGGGAGCGUUCUGUAAGCCUGUGAAGGUGUGUCGUGAGGCAUGCUGGAGGUAUCAGAAGUGCGAAUGCUGACAUAAGUAACGAUAAAGCGGGUGAAAAGCCCGCUCGCCGGAAGACCAAGGGUUCCUGUCCAACGUUAAUCGGGGCAGGGUGAGUCGACCCCUAAGGCGAGGCCGAAAGGCGUAGUCGAUGGGAAACGGGUUAAUAUUCCCGUACUUGGUGUUACUGCGAAGGGGGGACGGAGAAGGCUAUGUUGGCCGGGCGACGGUUGUCCCGGUUUAAGCGUGUAGGUGUGUGUUCCAGGUAAAUCCGGUUCACUUUAACACUGAGGCGUGACGACGAGGCACUACGGUGCUGAAGCAACAAAUGCCCUGCUUCCAGGAAAAGCCUCUAAGCAUCAGGUAACAUCAAAUCGUACCCCAAACCGACACAGGUGGUCAGGUAGAGAAUACCAAGGCGCUUGAGAGAACUCGGGUGAAGGAACUAGGCAAAAUGGUGCCGUAACUUCGGGAGAAGGCACGCUGACACGUAGGUGAAGUGAUUUACUCAUGGAGCUGAAGUCAGUCGAAGAUACCAGCUGGCUGCAACUGUUUAUUAAAAACACAGCACUGUGCAAACACGAAAGUGGACGUAUACGGUGUGACGCCUGCCCGGUGCCGGAAGGUUAAUUGAUGGGGUCAGCGCAAGCGAAGCUCCUGAUCGAAGCCCCGGUAAACGGCGGCCGUAACUAUAACGGUCCUAAGGUAGCGAAAUUCCUUGUCGGGUAAGUUCCGACCUGCACGAAUGGCGUAAUGAUGGCCAGGCUGUCUCCACCCGAGACUCAGUGAAAUUGAACUCGCUGUGAAGAUGCAGUGUACCCGCGGCAAGACGGAAAGACCCCGUGAACCUUUACUAUAGCUUGACACUGAACAUUGAGCCUUGAUGUGUAGGAUAGGUGGGAGGCUUUGAAGCGUGGACGCCAGUCUGCGUGGAGCCGACCUUGAAAUACCACCCUUUAAUGUUUGAUGUUCUAACGUGGACCCGU
rnacentral:rRNA from 3 species